GGGGAAUUUUCCGCAAUGGGCGAAAACCUGACGGAGCAAUACCGCGUGAGGGAGGAAGGCUCUUGGGUUGUAAACCUCUUUUCUCAGGGAAUAAGAANCUGAAGGUACCUGAGGAAUCAGCAUCGGCUAACUCCGUGCCAGCAGCCGCGGUAAUANCGGAGGAUGCAAGCGUUAUCCGGAAUGAUUGGGCGUAAAGCGUCCGCAGGUGGUUUAUCAAGUCUGCUGUCAAAGAGUUUGGCUCAACCAAAUAAAGGCAGUGGAAACUGACAGACUGGAGUGCGGUAAGGGCAGAGGGAAUUCCUGGUGUAGCGGUGAAAUGCGUAGAGAUCAGGAAGAACACCGGUGGCGAAAGCGCUCUGCUGGGCCGUAACUGACACUGAGGGACGAAAGCUAGGGGAGCGAAUGGGAUUAGAUACCCCAGUAGUC
rnacentral:rRNA from 1 species